rnacentral:tRNA from 1 species
GGCUUUGUAGCUUAAGUGGUUAGAGCGUUGGCUGUACUCAAGCCUUGCACUUGUUUCCAUGGGUUCAAAUCCCACCGAGGCUG